AUUGAACGCUGGCGGCAGGCCUAACACAUGCAAGUCGAGCGGAUGAGAGGAGCUUGCUUCUCGAUUCAGCGGCGGACGGGUGAGUAAUGCCUAGGAAUCUGCCUGGUAGUGGGGGACAACGUUUCGAAAGGAACGCUAAUACCGCAUACGUCCUACGGGAGAAAGCAGGGGACCUUCGGGCCUUGCGCUAUCAGAUGAGCCUAGGUCGGAUUAGCUAGUUGGUGAGGUAAUGGCUCACCAAGGUGACGAUCCGUAACUGGUCUGAGAGGAUGAUCAGUCACACUGGAACUGAGACACGGUCCAGACUCCUACGGGAGGCAGCAGUGGGGAAUAUUGGACAAUGGGCGAAAGCCUGAUCCAGCCAUGCCGCGUGUGUGAAGAAGGUCUUCGGAUUGUAAAGCACUUUAAGUUGGGAGGAAGGGUUGUAGAUUAAUACUCUGCAAUUUUGACGUUACCGACAGAAUACGCACCGGCUAACUCUGUGCCAGCCGCCGCGGUAA
rnacentral:rRNA from 1 species